rnacentral:rRNA from 1 species
GUGUAGGAUAGGUGGGAGGCUUUGAAGUGUGGACGCCAGUCUGCAUGGAGCCGACCUUGAAAUACCACCCUUUAAUGUUUGAUGUUCUAACGUGGACCCGUUACCCGGGUUGCGGACAGUGUCUGGUGGGUAGUUUGACUGGGGCGGUCUCCUCCUAAAGAGUAACGGAGGAGCACGAAGGUUGGCUAAUCCUGGUCGGACAUCAGGAGGUUAGUGCAAUGGCAUAAGCCAGCUUGACUGCGAGCGUGACGGCGCGAGCAGGUGCGAAAGCAGGUCAUAGUGAUCCGGUGGUUCUGAAUGGAAGGGCCAUCGCUCAACGGAUAAAAGGUACUCCGGGGAUAACAGGCUGAUACCGCCCAAGAGUUCAUAUCGACGGCGGUGUUUGGCACCUCGAUGUCGGCUCAUCACAUCCUGGGGCUGAAGUAGGUCCCAAGGGUAUGGCUGUUCGCCAUUUAAAGUGGUACGCGAGCUGGGUUUAGAACGUCGUGAGACAGUUCGGUCCCUAUCUGCCGUGGGCGCUGGAGAACUGAGGGGGGCUGCUCCUAGUACGAGAGGACCGGAGUGGACGCAUCACUGGUGUUCGGGUUGUCAUGCCAAUGGCACUGCCCGGUAGCUAAAUGCGGAAGAGAUAAGUGCUGAAAGCAUCUAAGCACGAAACUUGCCCCGA